CUAGUUCCUGUACAAUCACUGGAGUUAAGCAAUGUUGAGCCUGGUCAGUACCUAGAUGGGUGACCAUUUGGGAAUACCAGGUGCUGUAAG